UACGGAGGAUGCAAGCGUUGUCCGGGUUCAUUGGGUUUAAAGGGUGCGUAGGCGGAGAAUUAAGUUAGUGGUGAAAGCUCGCAGCUUAACUGUGAAAAUGCCAUUGAAACUGAUUUUCUUGAGUUCGAUUGAGGUAGAUGGAAUGUAUCAUGUAGCGGUGAAAUGCUUAGAUAUGAUACAGAACACCAAUUGCGAAGGCAGUCUACUAAGUCGAUACUGCCGCUGAGGCACGAAAGCAUGGGGAGCAAACAGG
rnacentral:rRNA from 1 species